rnacentral:tRNA from 1 species
AAGAAUGAUAAUAUUUCAGUUACGUUGAAAAUGACCUUAAUGGCAUUCUUU